rnacentral:rRNA from 1 species
ACGGGAGGCAGCAGUGGGGAAUAUUGGACAAUGGGGGAAACCCUGAUCCAGCGGCGCCGCGUGAGUGAAGAAGUAUUUCGGUAUGCAAAGCUCUAUCAGCAGGGAAGAUAAUGACGGUACCUGACUAAGAAGCCCCGGCUAACUACGUGCCAGCAGCCGCGGUAAUACGUAGGGGGCAAGCGUUAUCCGGAUUUACUGGGUGUAAAGGGAGCGUAGACGGAAGGCCAAGUCUGAUGUGAAAACCCAGGGCUCAACCCUGGGACUGCAUUGGAAACUGGUCAUCUAGAGUGCAGGAGGGGUAAGCGGAAUUCCUAGUGUAGCGGUGAAAUGCGUAGAUAUUAGGAGGAACACCAGUGGCGAAGGCGGCUUACUGGACUGUAACUGACGUUGAGGCUCGAAAGCGUGGGGAGCAAACAGGAUUAGAUACCCUGGUA